rnacentral:lncRNA from 1 species
CAUCCUGAGUCACAGACUCUUCUCAUAUUUCCUUAGGUUUCAACCUUGCUCCUAGGCUUUCAUUUGAUCCCCGGAUGGCCUGCCUGUUACAGCAGUGUACAUAACCAUGAACCCUCCUUGGAAGAAGGACCAUCUCGAGAAGCAGGAAGUUUUCAAAGCAGACCCUAACGUUCUCAUUUGGUAAUUUCCAUUCUUAAUACAUUUUACGUUCUUUUGCUCUGAGUGACUUGGCUUUGGAUGGAAAACAAAGUUUCAUUGCCUGCAUCAGAGGAACUCAGUGGAGGUGGUCUGAACACCAUGGAAAAGUUGCUUUGCUCUGCAGCAUGUUUCCCUGUGGUUGUGAACCACCAGCAUGCUGUGCCGGCUCCUCUCACUGAAGCACUGUGUCUCUCAGUCAAGGAAAAGGCUUAGUAGGCAGAGUUGGAAAUGACAGACUAUUUUUAACACGAGCUUUCUAUCCCACAGCUCUGGUUCCUACUUCUAUUAUCAUUACUUAUUCAUAGACUUUUAUUCCCAAAUAUCAUUACCCUUUACCGUAAUAGGAUCAGCAAAGCAACCACUUAAAACAAAACAAACAGAUGCAGGAAUCUAAGUCCUGUAGUGGUCCUGUUUUCUCCACUGUGCCUGCUCCCUGCCUCUCCCUGACUACCUAGGGGAGAAGUUGAUUUUAUCAGUCGCUAAGCAGCUUGGCUGCUUCAGAAAUGCCAGAGUAACAAAGGGACUUGGCACCAGAAAAGGUGUGAAGGCACCAGCAGUCUAGGAAAACAGGAGGGAGGUAACAAAAUCUAAGAAAAAAACAAGGGAGGAAGAAGGAAGAGGAGGAAGGUGGGAAGUGUCAAGAAAACUAAAAAGAAUACGCAGUGUGCAUUCCUUAAGCUUAGAGUCUGUGGAGGAAGACCCUUCUAAAGCAGACCCCAUUUAAUUUACAGUGAACCUUAAGUGGGAUCCUGGGGUUAUUCCCUGCCUUCUAAAGAUAGCUACAAUGUACUGAGGACCUGCUAUGUGCUUUCUAUAUGUUAUAUGAUUUGCACAUCUUUUAAUAGUGGGUAUCAUUUUUUUCCUCCUUUCACAUUCAUGAAGACUAAGGUUGAGAAAGCCUGAGUGGCUUAUCUAAAGUUGUAUUUCUUAACUUAGUGGAACUGGAAUGUAAACUUAGAUUUUAUGAAUCCAAAAAACUGUGUCCAUAACCAUUACAACUUUUUCAUAUUGACACCCACAGUGAUACAUGGCCUUGUAUUUUAAUCAGUCGUUUGUCUCUCCACUCAUGCAUUUAUUCACUAUAUACCACCUUGUUCCAGAAGUGAUUUAAGAUAGUGGAAAUGACUUGGAGUUAUACAUAUCUAAGCAGCUAGCACACAGUACACUCCAAGUAUUUGUUGAUCAACAGAGUGGUAGAACCUUGAUUUGUUAAAAGUUCAGGAUUGUUUCACCUUUGCUUUUUUUUUUUUUUAAUCCAGAAACUCAUCUGUGGUUUGGAUAUGGAGACAAGAGACUGGAUAAAUCCAUCUCCCCAAAUCUCUUAUAGACCUAGGCUUCUAUACAGGACUAGUUUAUCAUGUGGAAUGAAAAUUAUUUUCUCUUUCAUCAUUAAUUACAGAAGGGUAAGAAGUAAAUUGUCAGGAGGAAAAAAAAGAAUAACUUUACCAUAACCCAACAAACACUACCUCAACCAGGUGAUCAAGGUCAAUGUUAACAAAUGCUAACUCAAGUUGAUAGUAUGUAUGCUUGGUGUGUGAUGUAUUGAAGUGGCAUUUUACCUCUGUGGUCUUCCUCCUCAAAUCCCAUUACUUCAACCUAACCAUGAAAAACACCAGGCCAUUCCCAACUGAGAGGCUUUGUACAAAAUACUUGACUGGUACUCCUCAAAACUGUCAAGAUCAUCAAAAACAAAGAAAGACUUAGAAACUGUUGCAGUCAAGAGGAAUCCACCAAGACAGGAUGACUGCAUAUAAUAUGGUAUCCAUAGAACAGAAAAAGGACAUUCCGUAAAAACUAAGGAAAUCUGAGGAAGUAUGGAUUUUAAUUAUAAUAUCAUUAUUCAUUAAUUUAAAGAAAAAACACCCAUACCAUAAGUUGUUAAUAAGAGCAAAAAUAGUUGUACUAGACAUAUGGAAUUUUGUUGUUUUCUGUAAAUCUAAAACCUUUGUACACAAUUGAGCCUAUGAAAAUAUGUUUACACACACACAUACACACAUACACACACACAGUGAAUAAUCCAAGAAUACCGACAGAACCUGUAACAUGACUAGAUGGAGAAUAUUUGCCCCUAUCUUGAAAGCCAAUCCAAUCAAGAUGAAUAGCUUUUUCUUAAAUUAGUGCAAUUUAGUUUCCUGUUGAUUUUUGGAGUUUUAUGACUGGCUUUUGAAUAUUUAAAGAUAGGGCCAAGUUGCAAAGGAAUGAUUCAGUCUAUUCCUGUGUUCCCAGUAGAUAUUCUUCUGGAAUAACUGAAUUCCAUUGCAACAUAUGCUUGCAGAGCUUCCCUGGCUGGCACUGCAGACCUUCCACCCACUACCCACAGUCCAGUGUCAAGCUACUCCAAGGUGUUAGUUUCUCUCUCUUUAGAAAUUAACAAGGGUUCCUGAAUCAAUCCAGAAACUGAUAAAAUAAUUAUCUCAAUUCAAAACACAAAUGCCACAUCCUGUUUAUACUAAUUGGUAACUCCUAAAGUCUUACAUGUAGCAAUAUCAGCAACUUUGUCAUCAAUAGAAAUCUUAGAUGUGUUGGGGGCUGGGGUUGUGGCUCAGCGGUAGAGCGCUUGCCUAGCACGUGUGAGGCCCUGGGUUCAAUUCUCAGCGCCACAUAAAAAUAAAUAAAAUAAAGAUAUUGUGCCCAAUUACAAUAAAAAAAAAGAAAUCAUAGAUGUGCACCCAGCACAUUACAGUUAUUAUAGAUAUCUUGAAAUAUUGUUUACACUAUCAUUGCUUUGUAAUUAUAGUUAUUAGUAUUUGCUAGUUAUUAGAUUUGCUACUGUAUCUUGAUAUUUAAUAUAUUAAUUAUGCAUGUGGAUUACUGUAUUACAAAUUUUAAAGUAUUUUGACAAUUGUAUUUUAAUAUAAUUGGUUUCUUUUGUGAUUCUAUGGUAUUUUAAAAAAUAUAUUUAUUUAUUUAUUUAUUUAUUUAUUUAUUUAUUUAUUUAUUUAUUUUGUGUGUGUGUGUUUUGUUUUGAUUUUUUUUGGUGCUGGGGAUUGAACCCAGGGCCUUGUGCAUGCAAGGCAAGCACUCUACCAAAUGAGCUAUAUCCCCAGCCCCCUAAAAAAUAUAUUUGAAAACAUUUUUCUGAGAAGGAGUUCAAAGGCUUCUCUAGAUUGUUAAGAAAGCUCACAGAACAAAAAAGUUUAAGAACCUCUGAAGUAGUGGAAGAAACUUGAAUUGAGUCAUAAAUUGUGUACUCUCCAUCAAAUUCACCCCUAGGAUACUCAUUUUUCUCAGCAGUGCCUACUCUAUAAGGAAUCACUAUUAUUAUUUGUUAUCCUUGGCCAUUAGAUAAAAAUGACUUUUUACCAGGGUUUUAAAUGCAGUUCAUUGCAAGGAAUAUUUUUCACCCAAUGAUUUAGACCAUGCUUACAUGAGCAAAAUGAAAUGGAAAAUUGAGUCAAUUCUCUAGAUAAUAAUUCACACUAAUAGGUUCCUACAUUUGCCUGCAACAUCCAGAUAAUCAAAGAAAAAAUGUUUUUAACUUGAAUUAUCAGCAUAGCAACAUCACAAUUCUCAACUGCACUUCGAAUACGUAGAUUCAAGUGCCAGAAUUGACGUUCUUAAGAAUAUGAAGAGGAAUGUGACUCUUUCUGGAGAUACUCCAAAUACACACACUGAGAUAACUCAUAUAUUCCAGAGAUGUUUGUGGUUGACUGUGCAUCAAGAUACAUACUCACGAUUGAUUAGAAAUGAGUUCUGUGUUAGAUAAACCUUUUUCAUUCCAUCUGGAUCCACAGAUCUCUAAACCAAUUGGACUUCUGUGUAAUACUUCUGUCUUAGGACAGUACUGUCUAGUUCAGACCUUCUGGUCAUUUGUAUGAAUGUAGUGAAUGUUUUAAAUGGAAACACAGGCUUACUCUUGACUUGAAGUGUAUAGAUCCUAAGCAAUCUAUACACAAUAGUGUACAUUCACUGAUCUUUUUUAAAAAAUAUAUUUUUAGUUGUAGAUGGACACAUAUCUUUAUUUAUUUUUUUGUGGUGCUGAGGAUUGAAGCCAGUGCCUCACAUGUGCAAGGCAAAGGCUCUACCACUGAGCUACAGCCCCAGCCCCAUUCAGUGAUCUUUUAAGAAAGCUUAAAAAUUUCUGUGAUUUGGAUAUGGUUUGUCUCUCAAGGUUCAUGUGCUGGAGGCUUGGUCCCUAGGGUGGUGCUAUGAAGAGGUGGUAGAACCUUUAGAGCUGGAGCCUAGUGGAAACAACUUAGGCUAUGAGCAUUACCCUUAGAAGGGAUUGAUAAAAAGAUCUGUUGCCUGGGGAGGGUGGGGCGUGCAUGCCUGUAACCCUAGCAGCUUGGGAGGCUGAGGCAGGAGGAUCAUGAGUUCAAAGCCAGCCUCAGCAACUGAGUUAGGCUCUAAGCAGCUCGGCAAGACCUUAUCUCUAGGUCAAAUAUAACAACGGGCUGGGAAUGUGACUCCGUGGUUAAGCAUCCCUGGGUUCGAUCCCAGGUAACAACAACAACAAAAAGUCUAUUGACUCCUUAAAUGUUUGAUGUCUUGUCUCACCAUAUACUCUCUCCUCAUAGGCAUUUGCUCCUCCUAAUAUCCCAUUCACCAUGCUGUGAUGUAGCCAGAAGGCCCUCACCAGAGCCUAAGAAGAUAUAGGUAUCAUACUGUUGGAUCCCCAGAACUGCAAGAUCACUCUUCUUUAUAAGUUACCCAGGCUGGCUGUGGUGGUGCACAUCUGUAAUCUCAGCAUUUUGGGAGGCUGAGACAGAAGGAUUGUGAGUUCAAAGCCAGGCUCAGCAAUUCAGCAAAACCCUAAGCAAGUCAGUGAGACCCUGUCUCUAAAUAAAAUAUACAAAAGGGCUGGGGAUACAGCUCAGUGGUUAAACACCCCCUGGAUGCAAUCCCUGGUACUGACAAAACAAACAAACAAAAAACCCAGUUACCCAGUCUCAGUUAUUUUAUUGUGGCAACAGAACAUGGACUAAGACAUAAACCAAAUGUACACUGAAAAGACUUGAAUUAGUUAGAAAAUAAAUAAAG